rnacentral:snoRNA from 1 species
AUUAUGUGAUGAUUUAUAUACCGCCCCAGUCUGAAAGCUGAUGAUGGUAUUCUCUGAAUUAAG